rnacentral:rRNA from 1 species
GGGGAAUAUUGCACAAUGGGCGAAAGCCUGAUGCAGCGACGCCGCGUGAGGGAUGGAGGCCUUCGGGUUGUAAACCUCUUUCGCUCAUGGUCAAGCCGCAACACUGGUUGUGGUGAGGGUAGUGGGUAAAGAAGCGCCGGCUAACUACGUGCCAGCAGCCGCGGUAAUACGUAGGGCGCGAGCGUUGUCCGGAAUUAUUGGGCGUAAAGGGCUUGUAGGCGGUUGGUCGCGUCUGCCGUGAAAUCCUCUGGCUUAACUGGGGGCGUGCGGUGGGUACGGGCUGACUUAAGUGCGGUAGGGGAGACUGGAACUCCUGGUGUAGCGGUGGAAUGCGCAGAUAUCAGGAAGAACACCGGUGGCGAAGGCGGGUCUCUGGGCCGUUACUGACGCUCAUGUGCGAAAGCGUGGGGAGCAAACAGGAUUAGAUACCCUGGUAGUCCACGCAGUAAACGAUGAUUACUAGGAGUUUGCGAUAUACCGUCAAGCUUCCACAGCGAAAGCGUUAAGUAAUCCACCUGGGGAGUACGCCGGCAACGGUG